rnacentral:sRNA from 1 species
GUCAACUACCCCCACCUAAAUCAUAGAUUUGGGAAGGGGCUCGUAGGAGACCAGCCUGAGCGAUGUCCUUCAGCAAAGGGCAGUUGAGCUACGUUCGGAGGAAAGGCUGAACAAGCACUCUGGAGUGCUUCCUCAGCUCCAGACCCUGUAAGUCGGUGAGGACGAAACCAAGCGUUAGGCAAGCUCGGUAGACCGGUUUGGCAACAAACCGGAAACAUCUUGCGGACAUUAGCCUGCUCCAACAUUGGCGAGGGGAACCUAACUGGUUGCCAGAACCA